rnacentral:rRNA from 1 species
AGCGGCGGACGGGUGAGUAACGCGUGGGUAACCUGCCCUGUACACACGGAUAACAUACCGAAAGGUAUGCUAAUACGAGAUAAUAUGCUUUUAUCGCAUGGUAGAAGUAUCAAAGCUUUUGCGGUACAGGAUGGACCCGCGUCUGAUUAGCUAGUUGGUAAGGUAACGGCUUACCAAGGCGACGAUCAGUAGCCGACCUGAGAGGGUGAUCGGCCACAUUGGAACUGAGACACGGUCCAAACUCCUACGGGAGGCAGCAGUGGGGAAUAUUGCACAAUGGGCGAAAGCCUGAUGCAGCAACGCCGCGUGAGCGAUGAAGGCCUUCGGGUCGUAAAGCUCUGUCCUCAAGGAAGAUAAUGACGGUACUUGAGGAGGAAGCCCCGGCUAACUACGUGCCAGCAGCCGCGGUAAUACGUAGGGGGCUAGCGUUAUCCGGAAUUACUGGGCGUAAAGGGUGCGUAGGUGGUUUCUUAAGUCAGAGGUGAAAGGCUACGGCUCAACCGUAGUAAGCCUUUGAAACUGGGAAACUUGAGUGCAGGAGAGGAGAGUGGAAUUCCUAGUGUAGCGGUGAAAUGCGUAGAUAUUAGGAGGAACACCAGUUGCGAAGGCGGCUCUCUGGACUGUAACUGACACUGAGGCACGAAAGCGUGGGGAGCAAACAGGAUUAGAUACCCUGGUAGUCCACGCCGUAAACGAGGAGUACUAGCUGU